CUUUGAAGAAACACCCUCUUAGUCACAACUCCCCCUUCACUUUCACAAAAUCCCCUCUUCAAAUUUUCAUCUUCCUUCAAAUCCCCCCUUCGAUUUCACCUCCGAUUCCCAAUCACCGGCGACCGGGCCGUCCCCACCGCCACCCGCGUUUGCCCCCUCCCGCCUCCCACGUCUCCCUGCCUUAGAAAGCCAUCACAGAAGCUCUGCCUCCGCCGGAACGACGUCGCCUGCCUUCGCCGCUCUGCUGCGCUGCCGGAAACAACGUCGCGAAGCCUCCGCCGCUCCAAAUCUGUCGUGACUAUACGGCACUGCUAGAGAAGGUCAACCCCCGGCAUUACGCCGCUGUCAAAUCCGCCGUCGAUCGGAGCCUGCCGCCGCUGGAGAAGGUCCGCUCCAGCCGCCGCCGCUGAAGAAGCUCCGCCGCUGCUGCCGAAUACUCCUCUCCGCCGCUGAAGAAGUAUAUCACUCCACCCUUGAUUCUUGAGGAAGAAAGAAAGAAGUCAAGGUGAACAAAAAAAAAGAGCGAGUAACAAAACAAAGGUUCUGCUGCUUCUCGAAUUAUUUCUGCAAAAGAUAGCUGAAACGGUUUAAGAAAAAUGUCAUCUUUGGGUACAUCAAAAGGGGUUUUGGAGAUUGCAAAAUUUGCAUUGUACGUCACCAUUCCGAUCGGCAUGAUGUACUUCUUCGCCAGCAAUACCAAGAAUCUCCAUAAAGUUAUGGGAAAUUGGAGGAAAUUAGGGUUGAAGUGGGUAGAAUCGAUUAAAGGGGAUGUGUCAAUAUCUAGAGAUACAAAUUUAACUACUAAAUUUGGCAGUGUAGAAGUUGGCUAUGGUGAAAACUUCCAUUAUCAUUAAUUUGUCAAUUUAUCUCGCUAUAUUGGAAAAGGUUAGUUUUUUGGAUUUUCAACUCAACUGUGUAUCAUUGUCAAAAAUGACAAAAGGCAAUACUUCAAUGAAGUUACAAAUUUGGUGGUCACAUUGACAAUGUAGAAGUGGACAGUUUAUGAUGAAGCUUACAUUACAAU